GUUGAACGCUGGCGGCAGGCCUAACACAUGCAAGUCGAACGGACACAGGAAGCGGCUUCCUGCUUUGCUUUCGCGGGGCGGACGGGUGUGACAUGUCUGGGACACUGCCCGAUGGCGGGGGAUACCUCCUGGAAACGGUACUUAUUACCGCAUAUCGUUUCAACCCCAUGGUGCGGGACUUUAGGGCCUCUUUCCAGUCGCUUAUCCCAGGUGGGAUUAGCUAGUAGGUAGGGUAACGGCUCACCUAGGCGACGAUCCAUAGCUGGUCUGAGAGGAUGACCAGCCACACUGGAACUGAGACACGGUCCAGACUCCUACGGGAGGCAGCAGUAGGGAAUAUUGCGCAAUGGGCGCAAGCCUGAUGCAGCCAUGCCGCGUGUAUGAUGAAGGCCUUCGGGUCGUAAAGUACUGUCAGCGGGGAGGAACGGAGUAGUGAUAAUCUCUGCACACAUUGACGGUACCUGAAGAGGAAGCACCGGCUAACUCCGUG
rnacentral:rRNA from 1 species